rnacentral:rRNA from 1 species
CUCAGGAUGAACGCUAGCGGCAGGCUUAAUACAUGCAAGUCGAGGGGCAGCGGGUGUAGCAAUACAUGCCGGCGACCGGCGCACGGGUGCGUAACGCGUAUGCAACCUACCUUUAACCGGAGGAUAGCCCAGAGAAAUCUGGAUUAAUACUCCAUAACAUUGCGAAGAGGCAUCUCUUUGCAAUUAAAGCUCAAGCGGUUUUACAUGGGCAUGCGUGACAUUAGCUAGUUGGUGAGGUGACGGCUCACCAAGGCUACGAUGUCUAGGGGUUCUGAGAGGAUUAUCCCCCACACUGGUACUGAGACACGGACCAGACUCCUACGGGAGGCAGCAGUAAGGAAUAUUGGGCAAUGGACGCAAGUCUGACCCAGCCAUGCCGCGUGAAGGAUGACGGCCCUAUGGGUUGUAAACUUCUUUUGUACGGGAAAAAACCCCUGGUCGUGAACCGGGGCUGAUGGUACCGUAAGAAUAAGCAUCGGCUAACUCCGUGCCAGCAGCCGCGGUAAUACGGAGGAUGCAAGCGUUAUCCGGAUUCAUUGGGUUUAAAGGGUGCGUAGGCGGGGUAAUAAGUCAGUGGUGAAAUCCUGCAGCUUAACUGCAGAACUGCCAUUGAUACUGUUAACCUUGAGUACAUUUGAAGUGGGCGGAAUGUGUCAUGUAGCGGUGAAAUGCUUAGAUAUGACGCAGAACUCCGAUAGCGAAGGCAGCUCACUAAACUGUAACUGACGGUGAGGCAAGAAAGCGUGGGGAUCAAACAGGAUUAGAUACCCUGGUAGUCCACGCCGUAAACUAUGAUCACUCGAUGUGUGCGAUAUACUGUACGCGUCUGAGCGAAAGCAUUAAGUGAUCCACCUGGGGAGUACGUUCGCAGGGAUGAAAC